CGUAGGUGGCGAGCGUUAUCCGGAAUGAUUGGGCGUAAAGGGUGCGUAGGUGGCAGAUCAAGUCUGGAGUAAAGGUAUGGGCUCAACCCGUACUUGCUCUGGAAACUGAUCAGCUAGAGAACAGAAGAGGACGGCGGAACUCCAUGUGUAGCGGUAAAAUGCGUAGAUAUAUGGAAGAACACCGGUGGCGAAGGCGGCCGUCUGGUCUGGAUUCUGACACUGAAGCACGAAAGCGUGGGAGCAAAUAGGAUU
rnacentral:rRNA from 1 species